rnacentral:rRNA from 1 species
ACGGGGCGCAGCAGGCGCGAAGACUUUACAAUGCGGGAAACCGCGAUGAGGGGAUACCGAGUGCCAGCAUCUUAUGUUGGCUGUCCACCUGUCUAAAUAGCAGGUGUUAGCAAGGGCCGGGCAAGACCGGUGCCAGCCGCCGCGGUAACACCGGCGGCCCGAGUGGUAGCCACUAUUAUUGGGUCUAAAGGGUCCGUAGCCGGUUUGAUCAGUCUUCCGGGAAAUCUGAUAGCUUAACUAUUAGGCUUCUGGGGGAUACUGUCAGACUUGGGACCGGGAGAGGUAAGAGGUACUACAGGGGUAGGAGUGAAAUCUUGUAAUCCUUGUGGGACCACCAGUGGCGAAGGCGUCUUACCAGAACGGGUCCGACGGUGAGGGACGAAAGCUGGGGGCACGAACCGGAUUAGAUACCCGGGUAGUCCCAGCCGUAAACGAUGCUCGCUAGGUGUCUGGGAUGGUGCGACCGUUUCAGGUGCCGCAGGGAAGCCGUGAAGCGAGCCACCUGGGAAGUACGGCCGCAAGGCUGAAACUUAAAGGAAUUGGCGGGGGAG